rnacentral:rRNA from 1 species
CCUACGGGCGGCUGCAGUGGGGAAUAUUGCACAAUGGGCGCAAGCCUGAUGCAGCCAUGCCGCGUGUGUGAAGAAGGCCUUCGGGUUGUAAAGCACUUUCAGCGGGGAGGAAGGCGGUGAGGUUAAUAACCUCAUCGAUUGACGUUACCCGCAGAAGAAGCACCGGCUAACUCCGUGUCAGCAGCCGCGGUAAUACGGAGGGUGCAAGCGUUAAUCGGAAUUACUGGGCGUAAAGCGCACGCAGGCGGUCUGUCAAGUCGGAUGUGAAAUCCCCGGCCUCAACCUGGGAACUGCAUUCGAAACUGGCAGGCUAGAGUCUUGUAGAGGGGGGUAGAAUUCCAGGUGUAGCGGUGAAAUGCGUAGAGAUCUGGAGGAAUACCGGUGGCGAAGGCGGCCCCCUGGACAAAGACUGACGCUCAGGUGCGAAAGCGUGGGGAGCAAACAGGAUUAGAUACCCGGGUAGUC